AAGUCGACCAGCAGUGAGUGAACACUGAAACAAAUUCCAAUAACAAGCUCAGACUACACAUCCCCAUCUUUCAAUCAAAUAACAUAUUAAAAAUGAAACUAUUCGGAACGGGAUUUUUCACUUCGAAUAAGCAUGGAAUAUUAAGAAAUUUAGUUCCUAUCAUACAUAAAUUUAGCAUUCGCACAUGGUAGUAGCAUCUCUCAGGAAAAGAUCUAUUUUAGUUAUCAAAGAUUCAAAGGCAGGCUCUCAAAG
rnacentral:misc_RNA from 1 species